CUCGCAUUGAUUACGUCCCUGCCCUUUGUGCACACCGCCCGUCGCUACUACCGAUUGAAUUAUUUAGUGAGGUCUCCGGACGUGAUCACUGUGACGCCUUGCGUGUUACGAUUGUUUCCCAAAAGUUGACCGAACUUGAUUAUUUAGAGGAAGUAAAAGUCGUAACAAGGUUUCCGUAGGUGAACCUGCGGAAGGAUCAUUA
rfam:Drosophila willistoni strain TSC#14030-0811.24 scf2_1100000011244 genomic scaffold, whole genome shotgun sequence.